CAACUUUCAACAAGCGAUCUCUUGGCUCUCGCAUCGAUGAAGAACGCAGCGAAAUGCGAUAAGUAAUGUGAAUUGCAGAAUUCAGUGAAUCAUCGAAUCUUUGAACGCACCUUGCGCUCCUUGGUAUUCCGAGGAGCAUGCCUGUUUGAGUGUCAUUA
rnacentral:rRNA from 1 species